rnacentral:rRNA from 1 species
AUUGAACGCUGGCGGCAGGCCUAACACAUGCAAGUCGAGCGAGAAAGCACUUCGGUGUGAGUACAGCGGCGGACGGGUGAGUAACGCGUAGGAAUCUACCUAGUAGUGGGGGACAACAUGUGGAAACGCAUGCUAAUACCGCAUACGCCCUAAGGGGGAAAGCAGGGGAUCUUCGGACCUUGCGCUAUUGGAUGAGCCUGCGUCAGAUUAGCUAGUUGGUGGGGUAUGGCCUACCAAGGCAACGAUCUGUAGCUGGUCUGAGAGGAUGAUCAGCCACACUGGGACUGAGACACGGCCCAG